rnacentral:rRNA from 1 species
GGCAGGCUUAACACAUGCAAGUCGAGCGGUAGCAGAUCUAGCUUGCUAGAUGCUGACGAGCGGCGGACGGGUGAGUAACGCGUAGGAACCUGCCCAGUAGUGGGGGAUAGCCCGGGGAAACUCGGAUUAAUACCGCAUACGCUCUAUGGAGGAAAGAGGGGGCUUCGGCUCUCGCUAUUGGAUGGGCCUGCGUGAGAUUAGCUAGUUGGUGAGGUAAUGGCUCACCAAGGCGACGAUCUCUAGCUGGUCUGAGAGGAUGAUCAGCCACACUGGGACUGAGACACGGCCCAGACUCCUACGGGAGGCAGCAGUGGGGAAUAUUGCACAAUGGGCGCAAGCCUGAUGCAGCCAUGCCGCGUGUGUGAAGAAGGCUUUCGGGUUGUAAAGCACUUUCAGUGGGGAGGAAGGCCUCGUAGUUAAUAGCUGCGAGGAUUGACGUUACCCACAGAAGAAGCACCGGCUAACUCCGUG